rnacentral:rRNA from 1 species
CCUACGGGAGGCAGCAGUGAGGAAUAUUGGUCAAUGGGCGGAAGCCUGAACCAGCCAAGUAGCGUGAAGGAUGACUGCCCUAUGGGUUGUAAACUUCUUUUAUAUGGGAAUAAAACAGGGUAUGCAUACCCUCUUGUAUGUAACAUAUGAAUAAGGAUUGGCUAACUACGUGCCAGCAGCCGCGGUAAUACGGAGGAUCCGAGCGUUAUCCGGAUUUAUUGGGAUUAAAGGGAGCGUAGGUGGAUAGGUAAGUCAGUUGUGAAAGUUUGCGGCUCAACCGUAAAAUUGCAGUUGAAACUGGCAGUCUUGAGUACAGUAGAAGUGGGCGGGAUUCGUGGUGUAGCGGUGAAAUGCUUAGAUAUCACGAAGAACUCCGA